GACGAACGCUGGCGGCGUGCCUAAUACAUGCAAGUUGAGCGAUGAAGAUUGGUGCUUGCACCAAUUUGAAGAGCAGCGAACGGGUGAGUAACGCGUGGGGAAUCUGCCUUUGAGCGGGGGACAACAUUUGGAAACGAAUGCUAAUACCGCAUAACAACUUUAAACAUAAGUUUUAAGUUUGAAAGAUGCAAUUGCAUCACUCAAAGAUGAUCCCGCGUUGUAUUAGCUAGUUGGUGAGGUAAAGGCUCACCAAGGCGAUGAUACAUAGCCGACCUGAGGGGGUGAUCGGCCACAUUGGGACUGAGACACGGCCCAAACUCCUACGGGAGGCAGCAGUAGGGAAUCUUCGGCAAUGGACGAAAGUCUGACCGAGCAACGCCGCGUGAGUGAAGAAGGGUUUCGGAUCGUAAAACUCUGUUGGUAGAGAAGAACGUUGGUGAGAGUGGAAAGCUCAUCAAGUGACGGUAACUACCCAGAAAGGGACGGCUAACUACGUG
rnacentral:rRNA from 1 species